rnacentral:lncRNA from 1 species
AAGGGAAGCAAAAAUGUAUAUCAAAUAGAACAUCACUCCAAAGUUAAUUUGACGGUUAUUUUUAGGUUUGCAGCAUCUGAAGAAAUAUCAGCACCGAUGAUUAUUUACCCAUACAAACGACUUCCUAGCAAUGUUAUAAAUUCAGUUCCUCGAGAAUGGGGCAUAGGCUGUAGCGAUACGGGAUGGAUGAAGAAUGAAAACUUCUAU